rnacentral:misc_RNA from 1 species
GAUGAAGAACGUAGCGAAAUGCGAUAAGUAAUGUGAAUUGCAGAAUUCAGUGAAUCAUCGAAUCUUUGAACGCACAUUGCGCCCCUUGGUAUUCCAUGGGGCAUGCCUGUUCGAGCGUCAUUUGUACCUUCAAGCUUUGCUUGGUGUUGGGUGUUUGUCUCGCCUCCGCGUGUAGACUCGCCUCAAAACAAUUGGCAGCCGGCGUAUUGAUUUCGGAGCGCAGUACAUCUCGCGCUUUGCACUCACAACGACGACGUCCAAAAGUACAUUUUUACACUCUUGACCUCGGAUCAGGUAGGGAUACCCGCUGAACUUAAGCAUAUCAAUAAGCGGAGGA